rnacentral:rRNA from 1 species
CAGCCGCCGCGGUAAUACGUAGGUGGCAAGCGUUGUCCGGAAUUAUUGGGCGUAAAGGGCUCGCAGGCGGUUUCUUAAGUCUGAUGUGAAAGCCCCCGGCUCAACCGGGGAGGGUCAUUGGAAACUGGGAAACUUGAGUGCAGAAGAGGAGAGUGGAAUUCCACGUGUAGCGGUGAAAUGCGUAGAGAUGUGGAGGAACACCAGUGGCGAAGGCGACUCUCUGGUCUGUAACUGGCGCUGAGGAGCGAAAGCGUGGGGAGCGAACAGGAUUAGAUACCCGUGUAGUCCCUGUCUCUUAUAA